UACGUAGGGGGCUAGCGUUGUCCGGAUUUAUUGGGCGUAAAGAGCGUGUAGGCGGCCAGGUAGGUCUGCUGUGAAAACUCGAGGCUCAACCUCGAGACGUCGGUUGAAACCGUUUGGCUAGAGUCCGGAAGAGGAGAGUGGAAUUCCCGGUGUAGCGGUGAAAUGCGCAGAUAUCGGGAAGAACACCCGUGGCGAAGGCGGCUCUCUGGGACGGUACUGACGCUGAGACGCGAAAGCGUGGGGAGCGAACAGG
rnacentral:rRNA from 1 species